rnacentral:rRNA from 1 species
UACGAAGGGGGCUAGCGUUGCUCGGAAUCACUGGGCGUAAAGCGCACGUAGGCGGCUUUCUAAGUCAGGGGUGAAAUCCUGGAGCUCAACUCCAGAACUGCCUUUGAUACUGGGAGCUCGAGUCCGGAAGAGGUGAGUGGAACGUGCGAGUGUAGAGGUGAAAUUCGUAGAUAUUCGCAAGAACACCAGUGGCGAAGGCGGCUCACCUGGUCCGGUACUGACGCUGAGGUGCGAAAGCGUGGGGAGCAACAGG